CAGUCGCCGCGGUAAUACAGAGGGUGCAAGCGUUAAUCGGAAUUACUGGGCGUAAAGCGCGCGUAGGUGGUUUGUUAAGUUGGAUGUGAAAGCCCCGGGCUCAACCUGGGAACUGCAUCCAAAACUGGCAAGCUAGAGUACGGUAGAGGGUGGUGGAAUUUCCUGUGUAGCGGUGAAAUGCGUAGAUAUAGGAAGGAACACCAGUGGCGAAGGCGACCACCUGGACUGAUACUGACACUGAGGUGCGAAAGCGUGGGGAGCAAACAGGAUUAGAUACCCGGGUAGUCCAUGUCUCUUAUAC
rnacentral:rRNA from 1 species